rnacentral:rRNA from 1 species
CAAUAGCGUAUAUUUAAGUUGUUGCAGUUAAAAAGCUCGUAGUUGGAUUUCGGUUAAGAGCGACCGGUCCGCCGUUUGGUGUGCACUGGUUGGUUUUAACUUCCUGUAGAGGACGUGCUCUGGGUUUAACGACCUGGACUCGGAGUCUACGUGGUUACUUUGAAAAAAUUAGAGUGUUCAAAGCGGGCUUACGCUUGAAUAUUUCAGCAUGGAAUAACACUAUAGGACUCCUGUCCUAUUUCAUUGGUCUCGGGACGGGAGUAAUGAUUAAGAGGAACAGUUGGGGGCAUUCGUAUUUCAUUGUCAGAGGUGAAAUUCUUGGAUUUAUGAAAGACGAACUUCUGCGAAAGCAUUUGCCAAGGAUGUUUUCAUUAA